AUUGAACGCUGGCGGCAUGCCUUACACAUGCAAGUCGAACGGCAGCACGGGAGCUUGCUCCUGGUGGCGAGUGGCGAACGGGUGAGUAAUACAUCGGAACGUACCCUGAAGUGGGGGAUAACGUAGCGAAAGUUACGCUAAUACCGCAUAUUCUGUGAGCAGGAAAGAGGGGGAUCGCAAGACCUCUUGCUUUAGGAGCGGCCGAUGUCGGAUUAGCUAGUUGGUGAGGUAAAGGCUCACCAAGGCGACGAUCCGUAGCGGGUCUGAGAGGAUGAUCCGCCACACUGGGACUGAGACACGGCCCAGACUCCUACGGGAGGCAGCAGUGGGGAAUUUUGGACAAUGGGCGCAAGCCUGAUCCAGCCAUGCCGCGUGAGUGAAGAAGGCCUUCGGGUUGUAAAGCUCUUUCGGUGGGGAAGAAAUUGCUUCGGUUAAUACCUGGAGUAGAUGACGGUACCCGCAUAAGAAGCACCGGCUAACUACGUG
rnacentral:rRNA from 1 species